UACGUAGGGGGCAAGCGUUGUCCGGAUUUAUUGGGCGUAAAGAGCGUGUAGGCGGCUAGGUAGGUCCGUUGUGAAAACUCGAGGCUCAACCUCGAGACGUCGAUGGAAACCAUCUAGCUAGAGUCCGGAAGAGGAGAGUGGAAUUCCUGGUGUAGCUGUGAAAUGCGCAGAUAUCAGGAAGAACACCCGUGGCGAAGGCGGUUCUCUGGGACGGUACUGACGCUGAGACGCGAAAGCGUGGGGAGCGAACAGG
rnacentral:rRNA from 1 species